UUUUGCUCUGGAUUGCCUCGCAGGAGGGCAUGCUGACCAAAGGCAGUGGGACACUUUACUGGCUUGGUCUUAAAUCUAGACAACCAACAAAACAAUCAAAUGAACCCUGAUUGGUAAGUGACUGUUUCUGAGGAGGGUCCUGAAAAAGCUGGCUCCAGCACACUUUCUCUGCCCAGGAAGCAAGUGGCAAAGCCAGGAGCUGAACCUGCUUUCUCUUAAUUUAGCUUCAGUGAUCUGGUUACCACACCAACCUGCCUCUUUAUGGAAGAAGGAAGGAAGGAAGGAACGAAGGGAAGGAGGGAGGAAAGAAGGAAGGAAGGAAGGAAGGAUGGAUGGAAGGAAGGAAGGAAGGAAGGAAAUCAAUAGGGAGGGGAGGAAGGGAGAAAGGAAGGAAGGGAGGAAGGGAAGGAGGGAGGAAGAACAGAAGCAAUAUUUCUCAAUUUUAUUUGUUUUUAGGUUAUACAUGUACAUUCCUCUUUUACAUAUUUCCAUAUGAAUCAUGUUGGGAGAGAAAAAUCAGAACAAAAUGGAAAAACCAUGAGAAAAAAAAAAAAACACAGAAGGAAAAAUGGUAAAAAUAGCAUGUGUUGAUUCCCAUUCAGUCUCCACAGUUCUCCCUUUGGAUGUGGAUGACAUUUUCCAUCCCAAGUCUAUAGGAAUUGCCUUGAAUCUCUGCACAGUUGAGAAGGGCCAAGUCCAUCAGAUUAAUCAUCACACAAUCUUCUUGUUGCCAGGUACACUGAUCUCCUGGUUCUGCUCACUUCACUCAGCAUCAGUUCAUAUAAGUCUUUCCAGGCUUUUCUGAAAUCAGCCUGCUCAUCUUUUGUUUUUAAUAGAACCAUGAUAUCCCGUUGCUUUCACACGCCGUUCCCCAGGCAAGGGGCAUCCACUCAGUUUCCAAUCCUUUGCCACCAUAAAAAAAGAGCUGUUACAAACACGUGAGCCCUUUUUUAUGAACUGAAGACCCAGGAGAGACCCCGCCGGAUGGAAGCGGUGUUUCUUUGGUAUUCACUCUGUGCCAGUACUGGAGAGGCAAAUAUAACCCCGACUUGAUGGCACUUUGCCGCUCUAAUAGAAGACAUCACACAUAAGGGGAGGGUGGCCAGAGGAAGAGAGAGAAAAGCAAGGAAGACAGAGGGCAGCUGGCUGGCGGAGUGCAAGAUGGGCCGGGCUGGGCUUGCCUGUCAGAGGGUAGCCCGAGGCUCAGGGACCUGGAUCCUGGAGGCCUUGACUGUAAAUGACUUUGAAUGCAUUCUUCUUUGACUCCCACAGGCCCAGCCUUUCACCCAUCAAAUGACCAGAUCCCCCAUCUCUCCACUAUAGAUAUUAAAUGGUCUUUCAUCCCCUAUUAGACUCCUAGAGGUCAGGCCUCCACCAAAAUGGCCUUGUGUGCGUUCUGUAAGAGCCUCUGUAUCCAUCGGCUGUCCCCGCAUAGAAGGGAAGCUCUCUGAAGGCAGGGGCUGUUGAUUUUUUUCCUUUUAUUCCUACCCCCUAGUACAGUACUUGGCACACAGUAGGUGCUUAACAAAUGUUUAUUGACUGAUUAAUCUUCUCUGACCAGAGGAAGCUUUAAGGAAAAUCUGUUUGAUGACUGACUGACUCUCACGGAGGAUUUUCCCCUUGCCCCAGAGCAGAUUUUCCCAUUGGGGGUUCUUGCUGCCAACUGAUGCCCCCUGGGUGAGAGUCAGGGUGGGGGGAGAUGGAGAGGAGGAGGCUUGGCUGGGGGAGGGAGCCGUCCAUCCCGGACCUGCAGGAAGAAAGGAGGGAUGGAGGCAGGGCCGAUUUCCUGGGGGCAGCCCUGCCUGGAGGAGGGAAGCUGGGGAGCCUCAGGGGGAGCUGGGCCCAUCGACUGGCAGGUCCCAAUGCUCGGGGGUAGGAGGGAAGUUUCUUAUUUCUCCUGUCCCGACUUCCCUCUUUGAUUUAUAACACCAUGAAAUGCUCUGUCCUCUUCUUCUUUCCUCACUGUCCCUCAGGGCCCUCGGAGAACGCGGGGACCACGGCCCGGGGACCUAGGAUUUCCAGGGGGUCGUCCCCACCUCUCUCUGGCCCUUGAACGCUGGCCUCCCGGGCAGGAAACAGGGAGACAGCCCAGGAUUGCAUUAGAGCCUCUGCUGGCUCCCGCCACCCUCCUCCAGACAACAGCUCAAAAGGAACAACAAGACUGCUGAGGGGGCGAAGAAGAGCCGAGCCCUCCAUCCCAGCCUCCAGAACCCGGGGCCACAUGUCCCGUGACGUCCGGCCCUUCCCUCGCCUCUGCGCAGCCUGUGCCCAAAGCCGGGCAGCCCUACGAGGUCCUUAGAAACACCCCCAGCUCAGAAUUUGCCUCUGACAGGGUCAGGGGAUCCAGCUCUCUUUGGGGUCCCUCUCAAGCAGCCAUUCCUUAUCCAUAUUCCUUAGAGCCCCAUCCCUGGCCUCUUGUGUUCUAUCGAUUUCCAUUGACGCUCAUGGACACAUUUCUUCACCCCAGGAGAAUAUAAACUCCUUGAGGGAAGGGACUGUUCGGUUUCAUGUGGCCCUUGUGUUCCCAGAGCCUCACACAGUGGCUGGAACGCAUAAGGCAAUUAAUAAAUGCGAAAUCACCGUC